GUACACAAAAAUGCACAUGCUGUGAGCUCGAUGAGUAGGGCGGGACACGUGGUAUCCUGUCUGAAUAUGGGGGGACCAUCCUCCAAGGCUAAAUACUCCUGACUGACCGAUAGUGAACCAGUACCGUGAGGGAAAGGCGAAAAGAACCCCGGCGAGGGGAGUGAAAAAGAACCUGAAACCGUGUACGUACAAGCAGUGGGAGCACGCUUAGGCGUGUGACUGCGUACCUUUUGUAUAAUGGGUCAGCGACUUAUAUUCUGUAGCAAGGUUAACCGAAUAGGGGAGCCGAAGGGAAACCGAGUCUUAACUGGGCGUUAAGUUGCAGGGUAUAGACCCGAAACCCGGUGAUCUAGCCAUGGGCAGGUUGAAGGUUGGGUAACACUAACUGGAGGACCGAACCGACUAAUGUUGAAAAAUUAGCGGAUGACUUGUGGCUGGGGGUGAAAGGCCAAUCAAACCGGGAGAUAGCUGGUUCUCCCCGAAAGCUAUUUAGGUAGCGCCUCGUGAAUUCAUCUCCGGGGGUAGAGCACUGUUUCGGCAAGGGGGUCAUCCCGACUUACCAACCCGAUGCAAACUGCGAAUACCGGAGAAUGUUAUCACGGGAGACACACGGCGGGUGCUAACGUCCGUCGUGAAGAGGGAAACAACCCAGACCGCCAGCUAAGGUCCCAAAGUCAUGGUUAAGUGGGAAACGAUGUGGGAAGGCCCAGACAGCCAGGAUGUUGGCUUAGAAGCAGCCAUCAUUUAAAGAAAGCGUAAUAGCUCACUGGUCGAGUCGGCCUGCGCGGAAGAUGUAACGGGGCUAAACCAUGCACCGAAGCUGCGGCAGCGACACUAUGUGUUGUUGGGUAGGGGAGCGUUCUGUAAGCCUGUGAAGGUGUACUGUGAGGUAUGCUGGAGGUAUCAGAAGUGCGAAUGCUGAC
rnacentral:rRNA from 1 species